rnacentral:rRNA from 1 species
AGAGUUUGAUCAUGGCUCAGGAUGAACGCUAGCGGCAGGCCUAAUACAUGCAAGUCGAGGGGCAGCACGGUAGCAAUACUGGUGGCGACCGGCGCACGGGUGCGUAACACGUAUACAAUCUGCCUUUAACUGGGGCAUAACCUUUCGAAAGAGAGACUAAUACCCCAUAAUAGUAGAGAAGGCAUCUUCUUUAUUUGAAAGCUCCGGCGGUUAAAGAUGAGUAUGCGGAUGAUUAGCUAGAUGGUGAGGUAACGGCUCACCAUGGCGACGAUCAAUAGGGGAUCUGAGAGGACUACCCCCCACACUGGUACUGAGACACGGACCAGACUCCUACGGGAGGCAGCAGUAAGGAAUAUUGGACAAUGCUCGCAAGAGUGAUCCAGCCAUGCCGCGUGCAGGAAGACGGCCCUAUGGGUUGUAAACUGCUUUUGAACUAGAGAAAACCCCCCUUCGUGAAGGGGGCUGAUAGUAUAGUUAGAAUAAGCAUCGGCUAACUUCGUGCCAGCAGCCGCGGUAAGACGAAGGAUGCAAGCGUUAUCCGGAUUCAUUGGGUUUAAAGGGAGCGUAGGUGGAUUUGUAAGUCAGUGGUGAAAGCCGGCAGCUUAACUGUCGAACUGCCAUUGAUACUGCGGAUCUUGAGUAUGGUUGCUGUGGGCGGAAUAUGACAUGUAGAGGUGAAAUUCAUAGAGAUGUCAUAGAACACCGAUUGCGAAGGCAGCUCACAAAGCCAUUACUGACACUGAGGCUCGAAAGUGCGGGGAUCAAACAGGAUUAGAUACCCCGGUAGU